ACUAAACAAAAGAGACACACUCGGUCUCUCUAUCACCCAAGGCAGCACCAGCAGUCCAGCACCCUUAUUUCCCCAAAAUUUGCUUUUUCUCCUCUUCUCCUCCCUUGCACUCUCUCCUCUUUUCUCAUCUUCACGGUGGGGGCUAUGGCAUAGUCAGUGAGCUGAAAUUAUUCAUGGCAGUGCAAAUAGUGUAGUGAAGUGUUGAGCUUGGGUUCAAGUCCUCUAUCACAUUUGAGCUUUGGUAGCGAUUAUUGGUGUUAGGACUUUCAAUCUACCGAUUAUCGUGAGACGUUGUUGUUGCAGGCAAUGAGGAUAAUGAUGAGGAUGUUGAUCCUGUAGCCUUAUACCUAGGCUACUAUGGAUGAAGCCAUUGGGGUGCCUUGGGAUCAUUUGACUAAUUUUUUUUGUGACUCUUUUGUUUACAUCAUUUUUGUAAUACUCACACUUAUGAUGUAAUUUUGGAUUUGCUGCAUGUGGCACAUGUAUUUGGACUGCCUUGUUUUGUAAUGAUACAAUGUAACCGUUUAUCAAGAUAGAUGUCUUUUGUUA